AUUGAACGCUGGCGGCAGGCUUAACACAUGCAAGUCGAGCGGGGUGAUGGUGCUUGCACUAUCACUUAGCGGCGGACGGGUGAGUAAUGCUUAGGAAUCUGCCUAUUAGUGGGGGACAACAUCUCGAAAGGGAUGCUAAUACCGCAUACGUCCUACGGGAGAAAGCAGGGGAUCACUUGUGACCUUGCGCUAAUAGAUGAGCCUAAGUCGGAUUAGCUAGUUGGUGGGGUAAAGGCCUACCAAGGCGACGAUCUGUAGCGGGUCCGAGAGGAUGAUCCGCCACGCGGGGACUGCGCGACGGCCAAGACUCCUACGGGAGGCAGCAGUGGGGAAUAUUGGGCAAUGGGGGGAACCCUGAUCCAGCCAUGCCGCGUGUGUUAAGAAGGCCUUAUGGUUGUAAAGCACUUUAAGCGAGGAGGAGGCUCUUUUGGUUAAUACCCAAGAUGAGUGGACGUUACUCGCAGAAUAAGCACCGGCUAACUCUGUGCCAGCCGCCGCAGUAA
rnacentral:rRNA from 1 species